rnacentral:rRNA from 1 species
GUCUAUGGUCAUACGACCCUGAAUGUGCCUGAUCUUUUCUGAUCUCAGAAGCUAAGUAGGCUUGGACCUGGUUAGUACUCCAAUGGGAAAACACUUGGUUCAAAGUUC